rnacentral:rRNA from 1 species
UACGUAGGGUGCAAGCGUUGUCCGGAAUUAUUGGGCGUAAAGAGCUCGUAGGCGGUUUGUCGCGUCUGCUGUGAAAACUCGGGGCUUAACUCCGGGCCUGCAGUGGGUACGGGCAGACUAGAGUGCGGUAGGGGAGACUGGAAUUCCUGGUGUAGCGGUGGAAUGCGCAGAUAUCAGGAAGAACACCGGUGGCGAAGGCGGCUCUCUGGGCCUUACCUGACGCUGAGGAGCGAAAGCGUGGGUAGCGAACAGG